GGCCCAGUAGCUCAGUGGAUUAGAGCGGCAGCCUCCGGAGCUGUAGGUCGCAGGUUCGAAUCCUGCCUGGGUCA
rnacentral:tRNA from 1 species